rnacentral:rRNA from 1 species
CGGUGUUUAACUGGCGUGAUGUGGGACGUCCUACCGGUGGGCUUAGCCUCGCGAGGGGCGGCCCAACUAAUAUCCCGUCGCGGUGCUCUUUACUGAGUGUCGAGUCGGGCCGGUACGUUUACUUUGAACAAAUUAGAGUGCUUAAAGCAAGCUAUCCUCGCCUGAAUACUGCGUGCAUGGAAUAAUGGAAUAGGACCUCGGUUCUAUUUUGUUGGUUUUCGGAACCCCGAGGUAAUGAUUAAUAGGGACAGAUGGGGGCAUUCGUAUUGCGACGUUAGAGGUGAAAUUCUUGGAUCGUCGCAAGACGGACAGAAGCGAAAGCAUUUGCCAAAAAUGUUUUCAUUAAUCAAGAACGAAAGUUAGAGGUUCGAAGGCGAUCAGAUACCGCCCUAGUUCUAACCAUAAACGAUGCCAGCUAGCGAUCCGCCGAAGUUCCUCCGAUGACUCGGCGGGCAGCUUCCGGGAAACCAAAGCUUUUGGGUUCCGGGGGAAGUAUGGUUGCAAAGCUGAAACUUAAAGGAAUUGACGGAAGGGCACCACCAGGAGUGGAGCCUGCGGCUUAAUUUGACUCAACACGGGAAACCUCACCAGGCCCAGACACCGGAAGGAUUGACAGAUUGAUAGCUCUUUCUUGAUUCGGUGGGUGGUGGUGCAUGGCCGUUCUUAGUUGGUGGAGCGAUUUGUCUGGUUAAUUCCGAUAACGAACGAGACUCUAGCCUGCUAAAUAGGCGUACCUUAUGGUAUCGCGAAGGCCCCCGGCUUCGGCCGGUGGGUUUUUACUACCAACGUACAAACAAAUCUUCUUAGAGGGACAGGCGG